UGUUGGGGCCAGGUGCCAGAUGAGUGUCCAGAACACGUGGCCCCUGAGCUUUGGGAUGCAUCAGCACCCACUCAGCCUGCCCAAAUGCAGAUUCCUAGGACUCAACCCCAGAGACCGAGACAAGGUCUGAAUAGGAUGGCAAAAAGCUACACAGUAAACACCGUGUCGCUUCUGGCCUGCAGAUUCUAAGGAGGGCGAUGAAAAGCAACUUGUCGAACCACAUUCAUUUAUAACGAGAAAGAACAAAUCAGGUGGCUUGCGCAGUGGCGUGGUCGGCUAGGUCGGUGGCCCCGUCUCCAGGAGCCAGCUCAGUGGGAAGCCAGAUGGCUGCGGGGCCAGGCUGAAGCCAGCAGCCCAGAAAUCAAUCUGCGUCUCUCCUGUCGGGGGCAGGGAACCACAUGCUUGAACCAUCACCGGGUGCCUCCCAGGGUGCACCUGCGCAGGAAGCUGGACCUGGAAGCAGAGCUGGACCCAAACGCAGCCACUACGAUGGGGGACGCGGGCGUCCCAGGCGGCGCCUUAACUGCUACGCCAAAGCCUGCCCUGCUCAUACGCAUCUCCGGGACAUAAUUCCAACGUUUUUCCGAUUGUGGAACACAUAGAAGCAGAAACGCAAGAGCAAAGAAAUGAAGGGAAGUAGUGGAAGAGUCGGCAAACAUGGGACAGAAGAUGGCGGUGGUGGGGAGAGUGUGGGCACGCACCUGUCCCCUCUGGCGUCCUCGGAUUAACCCCCUGUGCUUCCACCCCCUUGGACUCGCUGUUCUGGGUACCGCAGGCUGGGAGACGACAUGUGCUUCCUCCCCGCCUCUCCUCUGCUCGUCACAUUCCAGGGAGCUCAGGCUCCGGGCUGGGCUCUGCACCACUGAACCAUGCAGAAAUUCAUCCUCCCACCUCCCAGUGGCCGGUGAUCCAUUAAACUGCUCUCCAGGGAGAUCAGCCCAAGGUCCGGAGGGGUCCUUUCCUCCCCAGGUGGUCCGUCCUUGCCUUUGCAGAGGGCCCGGGAAGGAAGGCGCUGGGCUGGAAAUAGCUGAGGGUGCCGAGCGCCAGGGGCCCCGAGUCGGGGCCGGGAGGGCUGUGUUUGAGUAGGCCGGCGGGUUUGCGUUAAAUCUCAGCUGGGUAUCUUGGGGUGACCCCUUGACUUCUCUGAUUUCCUGUUCCCUCAGCCGCCUAAUGGGGAAUGCAAAGGUGUUUGUCUCAGGAAUCCAGAAAAUUCGAUGCAAGCUGGUGUAACCCACCAAGCAAGGGUGCUGUUUUUUUUUUUUUUUUAAUUUUUAAAAUUUUUGUUUUUGGCUCAAGUGACCAAGAAGUCCAGAGCUGGCCCGGCGUUGGUGCGUUCAGACCAGGGGGCUCUCACGGAAGCUACCAUUUGUCGUGUGCUUUCCUGGAUUGCUCAUUUAUUUACUCCGCACCACACACCCGAGAAGUAAACACCAUUACUGCCUUACAGAUCAAGAAACUGGGUCACACAGGAGACGUGCAGGGCCAGGCUGUGCAGCCAGGGUGCCGCCUGGGGAGUCCAGAUCCCGAGCCGGCGCGCUAACCACUCGGCCUCACUGCCUCCUUGAUGAGCCUCCACCCACCCACCCCCACUGCAGCUUUCUCUUCUGACCUCAAUUUCUUUGUGUACUUUACAGAACUGCACCUGCCCCCAGGCUCGGCACAGCCGCCUUCCCAGGCACGGCCAAGUUCUGUGCUGCCCAGCCGCCCUGCUACCUAGGGUGCAGAGGGCGCCAGCAGGCAACGCUGCCUUGCGGGAACAGUUUGCUCAUGGAUCCAGCAUGGAGCCCAGCGCUCUGUGUUAGUGAUCACAUGCCCUCGGGGUAACGAGGGAGCCCCGGACACGCGGCACUGCCAGCAUUGCCACCAUCGGCCUGGAGCCCCCAGGACGCAUCUCUUUAGGCCCCUAGUCACAGCGCUGGGAGGUGACCACUCGGACUCCCGACUUCCAGGCCACCUUGGGCUUGCCGGUCUCUAGCCGGCUGCAAUGCACUCUGUUCCGCCCCCUUCUCCCUGACGCCCCAGACCUUCCACGGUGGCCUCUGCAGUUCACGGGCCAUUAUCAGUCAGAAGCCCCACGCCUCGCCCUCUUCCCUGGGGUUCCCUUGCUCUCUGGUGCUCACACAAACUGGGCUCCCCCCAGGGCUCUGCUUGGCCAGCUGCCUCCCACAGCUUCUGUACCACGGGGCCUGGAGGUGGCCAAGAGGCACCUUUACUCCUUAUAGCCAUGUGCACACUGGUCUCCCACCCCUGAGAGAGAGAGAGAGAGAGAGAGAGAGAGAGAAUAUCCUAUCCCCUGUUUCACUGUGAUAGCCAGGUCUGGGCCAGGCUGAAGCCAGGAGCCAGGAGCUCUCUCCAGGUCGCCCACGUGGAUAGCAGGUGCUCAAGCACCCGCACCAUCCUCUGUUGCCCUCCUGGGCACGUGAAGCUGGAUGGGACGUGGAACGGCCAGGACUUAAACUGGCACUCCAACACGGGCUGCCAGCGUUGCAAGCUGCAGCUUCAUUGGCUGUGCCCCAAAGCCAGUUCCCAUGUUUUGUUGUGACCCAUAAGCAUACGCCACACUGUCAGUGUCAUGCAUCCAACUCUUGACCUACCUCUUCCUGUUUUUCUGGCUCAUUCUUUUUGGUAUGCAAAUGGUGACAAUCCUUGGACGUUGGAACCUCAGUGUUCCUAUUGGGGGUUCAUGGGCUCUUGUCCCUAAUAUCCUUCCUCCUCUUCCUCCCAAGCUACAGGUCCAUGGUCAGUUAGCACAAUCACCAGCAAGCAGCUGGAUCCAGUCCUGCAGGUUUUCCGUGCCUGUACCAGGCUGAGGAGAACACACAACCAUACUGGGCAGUCCGACUUCACCUCAACCUUGAUCUUCCAGGGGCCUUUUUUCAUUUUGACUUUAAAAAAAAUUUUUUUAAAUUUUUUUGACAGGCAGAGUGGACAGUGAGAGAGAGAGACAGAGAGAAAGGUCUUCCUUUUGCCAUUGGUUCACCCUCCAGUGGCCGCUGCGGCUGGCGUGCUGCGGCCGGCGCACCGCGCCUAUCCGAAGGCAGGAGCCAGGUGCUUCUCCUGGUCUCCCAUGGGGUGCAGGGCCCAAGGACUUGGGCCAUCCUCCACUGCACUCCCGGGCCACAGCAGAGAGCUGGCCUGGAAGAGGGGCAACCGGGACAGAAUCCGGGGCACCGACCAGGACUAGAACCCCGUGUGCCGGCGAGGCAAGGUGGAGGAUUAGCCUAGUGAGCCGCGGCGCCGCCCCCAGGGGCCUUUCAAAGCCCUCUUUGUUGCGGGGUCAUUCAUUCUUCCUUCUCUAGAUAGAACAUGUUUGUUUCCUUUCCUCUGUUCUCUCCUCAAACCCCCACACUCCCUGGUUGCUUACUCUCACUGUUGACUUUGCUGUCCAUUUCACUGAGAUAUUGAGAUACUUAGAAGAGAGCUUGCCCAGUAUCCCCACCCCCAUCUGCUCCCACACCUCCCCCUUCCCUCCUGUUCCCAUAAACGGGCAUUUGUGCUUCCAGUUAAAUUGGAUCCCCUCCCCUUGAGUCUGGUCAAGGACGUUGUGAAGGUCAUUUUAUCUCUUUUCUAUAACCCAAUUCUUUUGCUGUUUUCUGGAUCAUUCCCAGUGGUAUGAAAACAUUAAAAUCUCAUCUUUAUUUGAGAGACAGCGUCAGAGUAAGAUAGAUACACAGAGAGCGUCCCAUCCGCUGGUUCACUCCCUAAAAGCCUACAGUGCUGGGACUGGGCCAAGGCCAAAGUCAGGAGCCUGGAAUGCAAUCCAGGUCUCCCACAUGGGAGGCGGGAACUCAGUUUCCUGAGCCAUCACGGCUGCUUCCUGGUCUUCACUUGUGGGAAGCUGGAAUCAGACGCUGGAGCUGGGGCUUGAGCCCAGGCAUUCUGAUGUGAUGUGUGGGCGUCCUCGCUGCCAGCUAAAUGCCCACUCUCUACGUAUCUUAGCCUAAACUCCCCACAAACAGACUGACCUAGACCCUGCUCCCGGCCAUCUGCUGUUCUUUUAUUCUCCUUUGAUCACAAACAGCCUCUGGCCCCUUCUUCCUGUGGUCUUUUGCCUCCAAUAUGUUUUAUGAAAUUACAAAAACAAACAAACAAACAAACAAACACUGUAACAGAUUUAGCUGGGAAAGGGGGCUAUCUGCAUGAAAAAGAAUGAUGCUUUUACCUAAUGCCACCUGUGCGAAUUAACCUAAAAUGGAUCAGAGACCUAAGUGUCCGACCUAAAACCGUAAGAUUCUUAGAAGGAAGCUUAGGGGUAAGUUUUAUGUCACUGGAUUUGGCAUUGCACUCUUGGGUAAGAUACCAAAGCCACAGGUGACAUAAGGAAAGGCUCUUUCUACCAACAGAGUAAAAACCAAUCCGCGGAAUGGGAGAAAGGACUUGCGGAUCAUAUAUCUGACACGGAAUUAACGUCCAGAAUAUAAAGAAGACUCCAGAAACUCAGCAACAACAGAUAAACUGGACAGCCUGAUUCAAAAUUGGGCAAAGGGCUUCAAUGGUUCUUUUUUUUUGGUUAAAGCUUUAUUUUAUUUAUUUGAAAAGAAGAAUGACAGAAGGAGAGAGAGAGAGAGAGCAGGGAAUGGGGAGAGAGAAACAGAGACAGAAAAAGAGAGAGUUCUUCUAUCCCUUGGCCCACUCCCCAAAUAGCCACAAUGGCCAGGACGGGCCAGGUUGAAACAGGAACCAGGAACUCCAUCUGGUCUCUCAUGUGGAUGGCAGGUCUCCCAUGUGAAGUGAUAUCUCAUUAUAGUCUUUUUGCUUUUAAAGAUUUAUUUAUUUGUUUGAAAGGCAGAGUUAGAGAGAGAGAGAGAGAGAGAGCUUCCAUCUGCUGGUUCACUCCCCAAACGCCUGCAAUGGCCGGAGCUGGGCCGAGCUGGGCCGAGCUGAGCACUUGGGCCAUCUCCCACUGCUUUCCCAGAUGCAUUAUCAGGGAGCUGGAUGGGAAGUGGAGCAGCAGGGACUCGAACCCGCGCCCAUAUGGGAUUCCGGUGCUGCAGGCAGCGGCUUUAUCCGCUACGCCACAGCACGAGCCCCUCAUUAUAGUUUUGAUUUGCAUUUCUCUAAUGAUUAGUGAUGUUGUGUUUCUUUCCAUGUGCUUACUGACCAUUUGUUUAUCUUCUUUGAAGAAAUGUCUAUUUAGGAGACCAAUGUUGUGGUGCAGUGGGUUAAGCCACCGCUCAUGAUGCCUGCAUCCCAUCUCAAACCGCUGGUUCGAGUCCCAGCUACUCUGCUUCAGAUCCAGCUCCCUGCUAAUGGCCUAGGAAAAGCAGCAGAAGAUGGCCCAAGUGUUUGGGCCCCUGGCACCCACAUGGGAGACCUGGCUGAAGCUCUUGGUUCCUGGCUUCAGUUUGGCCCAGUCCUGGGCAGUUGCAGCCAUCUGGGGAGUGAACCAGCAGACGGAAGAUCUCUCUCUCUCUCUCUCUCUCUCUGCCUUUCAAAUAAGUAAGUAAAUAAAUAAAUCUUUUAAAAAACAAUUACCAUAGGAUCCUGCACUUCCGAUGUUGAGAAUACACUCAAAAGACUUGAAAGCAGGAUCUUGAAGAAAUAGUUGUACAUCCAUGAGCUUAUCGCAGCAUCAUUCACAACAGCUGAAAUGUGGGGCAACAGGCGCCCGCCGAGGAAGGGCUGCGGAAGCCACCCGUGGUGUGUCCCUACAGCGGACUGCUGUUCGGCCUCAAAGAGAAGGAAACUCGCAGUCGGCCAGCACGGAUGAACCCUGAGGAGAGUGUGCUACGUGAAGCAGACGCAGAUGCUGUGAGCUCCGUCACACAGACACUCGAGUGGUCAGAUGUAUAGAGACAGGAAAUGAGGUGGCGAUUGACAGGGACUGUGGGUGGGGGAUGGGGAGGUACUGUCUACUGGGUGUGGAGUUUCAUGGAGAUGGAUGAUGCGAUGACCGCAACAUUCGGAAGCACUCAGCAUUGGCGACCUGUUCCCUCCAAAGGGGUUUACGUUGCUCGCACAAUAAAAGAAGAGAGAAAAAGCCACAAGGUUGCAAGUACUUUGCUGUCAAUACCAAUACCAGAACCACUAAGUCCUCCACUUAGUGUCUACCACCAAAAUGCUACUGCACUUGUAGUGUUGUGCGUCUCACUGUGCAUCCUUCUGUCCAUCCACUGACUCAUCUUAUUUUUGUGCAUUUCAAAUUAAACUGCAGAUACCAGUACAUAUCCCUUUAAAUAAUAUGAGCAUUAUUACUUAGGCCAUGAUAUUUCAUUUUUUAAAAAAUUUAUUUAUUUAUUUGAAAGUCAAAAUUACACAGAGAGAGGAGAGGCAGAGAGAGACAGAGGUCUUCAAUCUGCUGGUUCGCUCCUCAAUUGGUUGCAACGGCCGGAGCUGUGUUGAUCCGAAGCCAGAAGCCAGGAGCUUCUUCCAGGUCUCCCACAUGCGUGCAGGGGCCUGAGGACUUGGGCCAUCUCCCACUGCUUUCCCAGGCCCUAGCAGAGAGCUGGAUCUGAAGUGGGGCAGCUGGGACUCCAACCGGCGCCCAUAUGGGAUACCAGCACUACAGGCAGCGGCUUUACCUGCUAUGCCACAGCACCAGCCCCCAUAAUAUUUCUGCAGUUUGUUUUCUUUCAUGGCAAAAUUUGCAUGCAAUGGAAUGUUCACAUUCUAAUAGACACCUUCUUUGUCUUUUAAACCUGGCAACCCAGGCUUUCUCCCUCAGCAUCCUACAAGGAACUUCAUGUGACCAAAUCCAAUGGACAACCCCUUGUCCUUUUAAAAAAUGAUUUAUUGAUUUCAUUGAAAGGCAGAGUGACAAAGAGAGAGGGAGGGAGGGGGAGGAAAGAGAGAGGAAGAGAUCCAUCUUCCAUCUGUUGGUUCACUCUCCCAAAUUCCCACAAUAGUCAGGGUUGGUCCAAGCCGAAGCCAGGAGCCAGGAACUCCACCCAGUUCUCCCACGUGGGUAGCAAGGGCCCAGGCACUUGGGCCAUCUUCUGCUGCUCUCCCAGGGGCAUUAGAGGGAGUCGGGUUGGAAGUGGAGCAGCUGGGACUCGAACCAGCACUCUGAUAUGGGACCCUCACUUCUUGUGUGGCAGCUUAACCUGCUGUGCCACAACACUGGGCCCCAGUCUUUGGUCCCUGAUUUACUUAGUUAACAGAAGCAGCACUUGACCUGCCCGAGGGCUGUCUCCUUUCUUCCGGGGACUUCCAGAACACGUCUUCUCCUCCCCUUUCAGGCACUUCUGCUGAUCUUGCAGCGCCUCGGACCCUGAGGUUGGAGGGCCCAGGACUCAGGACUGGCUCCCUUCACUGUCCAGCUGCACUCCUGCCUUGGGAAUCUCACCUGUCCUGUGGUUCGUGGGUCACCUGCAGGCCAGCAGCUCCCACAUUCACGUCUCUGGUCCUGAUGUGCCCAAGUUUUGUGCUUCCGACUGCCCUCAUCUCAGACUCAGGGUGUCCCCAGCUGAACUCCUCCAAUCUCCAUAAAACCCAGUCUAUUUGUACCCUCUCUUUUGUAAAACAAAAACAAAAACAAAAACCUUAAUUUUUUUAAAUCCAGGCUCAUAGCAACAUGAAGAGGAAGGAACAGACACUUCCCAUCCAGCCGCUGUGCUGCAGACACCCAAGGCUUCCCCCAUCAUGACCAUCCCCCACCAGAGGGGUCCAUUUGUUACUGCAGAUGAACCUAUGCUGAGACUCAUCCGUCUAGCACCCAAGCUCACAGUGGGGUGCACUCCAGGUGCUGUACCACCUUCUUCUUCUUCUUCUUCUUCUUCUUCUUCUUCUUCUUCUUCUUCUUCUUCUUCUUCUUUUUUUUAAAUCCAACCAGAACAUUUUGAGGUUGAUUUUUUUGGAUAUUAUUCAUUUUAAUGAUUUCUUUUCACUUUGUAAUCACAGAAAACAACAUUUUCAAUCUAUUUAAGCAUAGGUAUCAUUACAUUAAAGCUAACUAUACUGCUAAGAAAACCAUGUUGACUUCGUGGAGAUAUAAGCAAGAAAAUUCUAGUUAUCAAGAUAUAAUGAUAUUAGUUAUUAUAGAUUGCCAACUCAUGAACUGCACACACAAUCACUUGACUAGAUUCACAUGAUGUAUUUGAUGCUAAUUCCCAUUAUUGAGUUUACCCAUCCCAUGUACCCAUCACAGGACAUUAUUGAAGUGAGUUAGACCUUUAGAGCUACUAACUAAAAUGGUGGCAAAUCAGGUAUAUCAUUAUGGCAGGAGACUACUUCAGUGGUUUUUUCCCUUCCUCUAACCAGAUAAAAAUGUUGUAUAUUGCCUUAACAGAAAUAAACUUGAAAUAAAAUGCAGCAGUGAAUAAUAAGCAUGUUUCAAAGGUAGUUGCAUUUGCAAAUGAAAGCACAUAUUAAUGUCAAUAAAUUGAUGUAAUAAGAA